UCUACGGGUGGCAGCAGUGAGGAAUAUUGGUCAAUGGGCGGGAGCCUGAACCAGCCAAGUCGCGUGAAGGAAGAAGGUACUUAGUAUUGUAAACUUCUUUUGUCGGGGAACAAAGGCGGAGACGCGUCUCCGGAUGAGUGUACCCGAAGAAAAAGCAUCGGCUAACUCCGUGCCAGCAGCCGCGGUCAUACGGGGGAUGCGAGCGUUAUCCGGAUUUAUUGGGUUUAAAGGGUGCGCAGGCGGGAGAUCAAGUCAGCGGUAACAUGUCGGGGCUAAACCCCGGCCGGCCGUUGAAACUGGUUUUCUUGAGUGAGCGAGAGGUAUGCGGAAUGCGUGGUGUAGCGGUGAAAUGCAUAGAUAUCACGCAGAACUCCGAUUGCGAAGGCAGCAUACCGGCGCUCAACUGACGCUCAUGCACGAAAGUGUGGGUAUCGAACAGGAUUAGAUACCCUAGUAGUC
rnacentral:rRNA from 1 species